CAUUACUGAAUUGUCAACAAGGGUUGUUGCUGGCCCCCGCAUGGGGGCAUGUGCACGCUCUGUUUACACAUCCACUCACACCUGUGCACCCUCUGUAGUUCUAUGGCCUGGGGGCCUUGUCCUCCUGCCGUGGUUCUACGUCUUUACACACACACAUUGAAAUGAAGUCUAAUGGAAUGUAUGUCGCGUUUAACGCAAUGAAAUACAACUUUCAGCAACGGAUCUCUUGGCUCUCGCAUCGAUGAAGAACGCAGCGAAAUGCGAUAAGUAAUGUGAAUUGCAGAAUUCAGUGAAUCAUCGAAUCUUUGAACGCACCUUGCGCCCUUUGGCUAUUCCGAAGGGCAUGCCUGUUUGAGUAUCAUGAACACCUCAACUCUCAUGGCUUGCCGUGAUGAGCUUGGACUUUGGGGGUCUUGCUGGCCUGUGGUCAGCUCCUCUCAAAUGAAUUAGCCUGCCGGUGUUUGGUGGGAUCACAGGUGUGAUAACUAUCUACGNUNGUGGUUUUCCACCAGGUAACCCUCAGCAANGGA
rnacentral:sRNA from 1 species